UGGCGGCAGUAGCGCGGUGGUCCCACCUGCCCCCAUGCCGAACUCAGAAGUGAAACGCCGUAGCGCCGAUGGUAGUGUGGGGUCUCCCCAUGCGAGAGUAGGGAACUGCCAGACA
rnacentral:rRNA from 1 species